AUGAUAUCAGUAAUUUUGUGAUAGAUCACCCAUUUCUAAUGAGCAACCAAGCUCAGAAACACUAUGAUCAACUCCCGUUAUGACAAAAUAUUGUUGCAAUGAAUAGAAAAUACAUAAAAAAUUGAACAUCAUAAAAAGCUCACCACCUCGAAACACCGCUCUUAAUGAGUGGCGAUCUCGGUUCAUUUGAUUUUCGAGGUUAUUUUUUUAUUUUUUUUUUAUUUUUUUUUCUUAUACAAUUGUUCGCCUUAAUUUUUUAUCGCUUACCGCAGUAUAUAACUGGGCUGCAUCAAGUAUUCAGUUACAGUUGUGUCGUAGCUCUAAAACUCUUUACAUCUUUUAAAAAACCAACAAAUCCCAAAAUAUCAUCAUGAACUUCCAAGCAAUCCUCGCUCUUUUCUUCGCCCUCAUCGCCGUCGCUUUCGCCGCCCCGCAAUACGGCCACGAAUCGUCCGGAUACAAAUCCUCCGGACACGGCUACGAGAGCAAGUCCUACGAACCCGCUACCUCCUACCAGAACGUCAACCUCUACCCCCAACACGGCCAUGGCUACGAACAUAAGGAAUCCAGCCACAAGUACUGAAGACUGCCGCCCUCUGCCGAACCCACCUCACUCAAUUCAUCGCGAUUAAUUUAUUUCACCCCUCAUCCGAAACGCAAUCAUCUUUAAUUUCCUAUCGUCAUAGUGAACCAAAAUAAAAUUUAAUAUAAAAAAGAUAAUAUCAAUAAAAACUGCAAAAUUCAAGACUAUUAUUGGACUUUGAUUAUUUCACCCAUUCUACAGAUCUUCCUAACAUACGCUCUCUAAUACAGAGUCAGAAUGAAGAACGUCACUAAUACCCAGUGGCGUGGCGUGAAUAAUCGAUUACCGAUAUCUCGCCAUUUGAAGCUAUGGUAAAGAAUCGAUUACUAAGGUGUCCGCUGCGAACACCCUGAUAAUCGAUAUUUUUUCAUAGGUUUAAAUGGCACAACAAUCGAUAUAUCGCAAUUCACGCCACGCCACUGCUAAUACCGAUAGAUAAUGCGCUAGAAAACUUCAUUGCCUCAUAUUGAAGUGCUUGAUGAUUUGAAUUGAAGUUAUUCUUUUAACUUUCUUCCUGAGAUGCCAAAUUGGAUGAAAAUAGACUUGAAAAAGAAACUUAACCCGGUCUUGUGACGUUAUAGAGUGGAAUUUCCUGUUGAGACUCAUGCAUUUUAGGAGAUUAGAUUAUGCUGUUGCACAUCCACAAAUAAUUGUUGAACUUAAAAUCAGAGGGUACUCAUAAUAUUAAUUCAUCCAAUAGUUUUCCCAUAUUUAAUUUUCAAAAACAAUUUUCAGACUCUUACAAAACAUUUAUUAGAGAGCAUUAUAAUAUACGUAUGAGA
rnacentral:lncRNA from 1 species